AUGAGAGAACGUUAUAGCUCCAGCGCUGAAUGGAACAUUUUUGAUGCUGUGGUGAUGCGGACUUUGUGCUUCUCUGUGAGGAAACACUUUCUUCCAACGAUGCAGUUUUCCUCACACUCCGGGAGUGUCCUCACUGCCAGAAUUGCCCAGCUUCCUGGCACACCUACCAACCAGUCAUUCCCAGCACUGCCCAGUAUGCAGCCUCCCGGCAGAGGGCCUGGAUGUCUUGGCAGGGAGCAGCAUGCAGAGGGCCCUUGCACAACCUGGGUCUUCUGGAAGUUCCAUGCCCAGGUGUUGGCCCAGCUGUCCUCAUGGUUCCAAGAAGGCUGCCCCAGGAAGGCUUGUGGACAGAGGGAGAAGCAUCUCUUCCUCUAAGUCUCUUUUUAUCUAAGAAACCAGUUUGACCAGCAUCCUUCCCCUCGGCUCUCUGGGAGGAAUGCAUGGAUCCCUUCGCCUUCCCCCAUCCCUCCAUGGUUGACUAAACCCACUAGGAUCCACUCUUUCGUGUGGAAAUGGGUUCAGGCCUCCCAUGAACAGCAUGAAGAUGCCCUCUGAUAUGGGUUACAUUAUGUCCCCUGCCCCUGAGACAGUAUGUUGAGUCCUAACCCUAGUAUUGCAGGAUGUGAAUUUAUUAGGACAUAGGGUCUUUAUGGAGGUCAUUAAGUUAAAUGAGGGCAUUAGGGUGGGCUGCUGUCCUGAUAUUAAGGGGAAAUUUGGGGCUGGGUGUAGUGGCUUACACCUAUAAUCCCAGUGCUUUGGGAGACCAAGGCAGGAGGAUUGCUUGAGGGCAGGAGUUCAAGGUACCGGGGAGACCCGGUAUCUAUAAAAAAAAAUCAAAAACAAAAAAAUUAGUGCGUGGUGCAUGCCUGUAGUCCCAGCUACUCAGGAGGCUGAGGUGGGAGGAUCGCUUGAGUCUAGGAAUUUGAGGCUGCAGUGAGCCAUGAAAAGGUGGGGGACGACGGAGACCCACAGGGAAAGCAUCCUGUGAACGCGGCAGAGGUAAGGGUGACACCUCUACACACUGAGGAACUUCAAAGGCGGCCAGCAAGCCACUGGGAGCUCGGGGAAGGCACAGCGAAGAUGCUCAUCUGCUCGCUGCCCUCAGAGGGAAGCCAGCCCGCCAACCCCUUGAUCUCAGACCUCUGCCCCCCGGAACUGUGAGAUGAUAGAUUUCUGUUGUUUAAGCCCCAGUUUGUGGUGCUUUGUUACAGCAGCCCUAGGGAACCAUCCACUCUCAGAACAAAAGCAGGGCUGGACUGCUAGAAGAAAGGAGAGGAGACCUGCGGAGGAUACCCGCCUUGGGGCUGAACCUGAGAUCACUCCAGGGCUCCCCGGGUUGUUUUGAAGAAUGGAGAUGGAUUUGUGCAGGGCUUACUGUAGAAGCUCAGUACAACAUGUGACGCUUAUAAGGCUGCAAUCCACAGAGCUCAGUCCCCAAGGAGCGCUGCAUGCACAGACAUUCCAAACAGAAAUUCGCAUUUCCCUUGGCUUCUUUCUCAAACAUGGAAGGAGGGACUUCUCAGUGCAUCAUUAAAAAAUUCUCUCCUUGGCCAGUCGUGGUGGUUCAUGCCUGUAAUCCCAGCACUUUGGGAGGCCGAGGCAGGAGGGUUGCUCGAGGCCAGGAGUUCAAGACCAGUCUGGGCAACAUAAUCGAGAUACUGCCUCUACAAAAAAUUAAAACAUUAUUUAAUGUUGAUCUGUGAGAUUUGGGUGCACCCACCACCGGAACAGUAUACACUGAAUCCAAUUUGUAGCUUUUAUCCAUCACCCCCUUCCCACCCUUUCCCCGAAGUCGACUGUGUCAUUCUUAUGCCUUUGCAUCCUCAUAGCUUAGCUCCCACUGAAGAGUGAGAACAUACAAUGUUUGGUUUUCUAUUCCUGAGUUACUUCACUUAGAAUAAUAGUCUCCAAUUCCAUCUAGGUUGCUGUGAAUGUCAUUAAUUCAUUCCUUUUUACGGCUGAGUAGUAUUCUAUCCCAUAUAUAUAUAUAUAUACCACAAUUUCUUUAUUCACUCGUUGAUUGAUGGGCAUUUGGGCUAGUUCCAUAUUUUUCCAACUGUAAAUUGCUCUGCUAUAAACAUGUGUGUUCAA
rnacentral:lncRNA from 1 species